AGAGUUUGAUCCUGGCUCAGAUUGAACGCUGGCGGCAGGCCUAACACAUGCAAGUCGAGCGGUAGAGAGAAGCUUGCUUCUCUUGAGAGCGGCGGACGGGUGAGUAAUGCCUAGGAAUCUGCCUGGUAGUGGGGGAUAACGUCCGGAAACGGAAGCUAAUACCGCAUACGUCCUACGGGAGAAAGCAGGGGACCUUCGGGCCUUGCGCUAUCAGAUGAGCCUAGGUCGGAUUAGCUAGUUGGUGGGGUAAUGGCUCACCAAGGCGACGAUCCGUAACUGGUCUGAGAGGAUGAUCAGUCACACUGGAACUGAGACACGGUCCAGACUCCUACGGGAGGCAGCAGUGGGGAAUAUUGGACAAUGGGCGAAAGCCUGAUCCAGCCAUGCCGCGUGUGUGAAGAAGGUCUUCGGAUUGUAUUUUAUUUUAAGUUGGGAGGAAGGGCAGUAAAUUAAUACUUUGCUGUUUUGACGUUACCGACAGAAUAAGCACCGGCUAACUCUGUGCCAGCAGCCGCGGGUAAUACAGAGGGUGCAAGCGUUAGUCGGAAUUACUGGCGUAGAGCGCGCGUAGGUGGUUCGUUAGUCAGAUGUGAAAUCCCCGGGCUCAGCCUGGGGAACUGCAUUCAAACUGACUAGCUAGAGUAUGGGUAGAGGGUGGUAGAAAUUUCGCUGUGUAGCGGGUGAAUGCGUAGAUUUACGAAGGAACACACUGGCGACGCGACAGCCUGGACUGGAUACUGAUCCCGAGGUGCGAAGCGUGGGACCAAACGGGAUUCGAUCACCCCUGGUGUUCCACGCGUAAAGGAUGUCAAUUAGCCGUUGGCAGCCAUGAGCUCUUAGUGGCGCAGCUAACGCAUUAAAUUGACCGCAUGGGCGAGUACGCCCGCCAAGGUUAAGACUCAAAUGAAUUGACGGGGGCCCGCACAAGCGGUGGAGCAUGUGGUUUAAUUUGAAGCAACGCGAAGAACCUUACCAGGCCCUGACGUCCAAUGAACUUUCUAGAGAUAGAUUGGUGCCUUCGGGAACAUUGAGACAGCUGCUGCAUGGCUGUCGUCAGCUCCGUGUCGUGAGAUGUUGGGUUAAGUCCCGUAACGAGUGCAACCCUUGUCCUUAGUUACCAGCACGUAAUGGUGGGCACUCUAAGGAGACUGCCGGUGACAAACCGGAGGAAGGUGGGGAUGACGUCAAGUCAUCAUGGCCCUUACGGCCUGGGCUACACACGUGCUACAAUGGUCGGUACAGAGGGUUGCCAAGCCGCGAGGUGGAGCUAAUCCCAGAAAACCGAUCGUAGUCCGGAUCGCAGUCUGCAACUCGACUGCGUGAAGUCGGAAUCGCUAGUAAUCGCGAAUCAGAAUGUCGCGGUGAAUACGUUCCCGGGCCUUGUACACACCGCCCGUCACACCAUGGGAGUGGGUUGCACCAGAAGUAGCUAGUCUAACCUUCGGGAGGACGGUUACCACGGUGUGAUUCAUGACUGGGGUGAAGUCGUAACAAGGUAACC
rnacentral:rRNA from 1 species